AGCAGCCGCGGUAAUUCCAGCUCCAAUAGCGUAUAUUAAAGUUGUUGCAGUUAAAAAGCUCGUAGUUGAAUUUCGGGAUCAAUUUAUUGGUCGUGCUAUUGUACGUACUGGUAUUAUUGAUUCCUACCUUCUGACGAACCAUGAUGUCAUUAAUUUGGUGUCUUGGGGAAUCAGGACUGUUACUUUGAAAAAAUUAGAGUGUUUAAAGCAGGCUCACGCUUGAAUACAUUAGCAUGGAAUAACGAAAUAGGACGUUUGAUUCUAUUUUGUUGGUUUCUAGGAUCGACGUAAUGAUUAAUAGGGAUAGUUGGGGGCAUUAGUAUUCAAUUGUCAGAGGUGAAAUUCUUGGAUUUAUUGAAGACUAACUACUGCGAAAGCAUUUGCCAAGGAUGUUUUCAUUAAUCAAGAACGAAAGUUAGGGGAUCGAAGACGAUCAGAUACCGUCGUAGUCUUAACCAUAAACUAUGCCGACUAGGGAUCGGAUGAUGUUAAUUUUUAAUGUACUCAUUCGGCGCCUUAA
rnacentral:rRNA from 1 species